rnacentral:lncRNA from 1 species
ACAGGCACUUGGUGCCUGCUGGCCUCUGCUCUCCAACCCUCUGGGCGAGCAAUGGGCUCAACAUGUUCCUGAAGCUCCAACAGGGUAGUGAGCCCGAAGCUGGCUGCUACUCACCCCCACCGUGGACCAUGGCCCCCAGGAUGGAAGGAAACCAAGAGGUCUCACUGUUGCUGGCCUGAAAGUCGCGCUGCAGAUCAGUGAAGAAGACACCGAUGCAGGAGGAUCAGACCGUGGGCCGGCAAAAUGCUGGUGUUUCCCAAAGGGGACAUGGACCUGUCUCCCUCCAAACUUCCAUUAUGAGCUGCCUGUGUACCAGCACCAACUUUCCUACCACUGGGAGAUCAACCUGAGCUCACCACCAGCGAGCAAGCUGGCACAGAAGGCACAGAUGCCAGCUCAGCAAGGACAGCC